rnacentral:rRNA from 1 species
UAGAGAGAGACAUGCGCGCAUAUCAAUAAGCGGAGGAAAAGAAACUAACAAGGAUUCCCUUAGUAACGGCGAGUGAAGCGGGAAGAGCUCAAAUUUGAAAUCUUCAAGGUUUUACCUUGACGAAUUGUAGUUUAAAGAAGUGUUUUCUGCUGAAGUUUUGGUAAAAGUUCUUUGGAAUAGGACAUCAUAGAGGGUGAGAAUCCCGUAUUUGACCAUUAUUUUCAGCUUUGUGAUACACUUUCAAAGAGUCGGAUUGUUUGGGAAUGCAGUCCAAAAUGGGUGGUAAAUUUCAUCUAAAGCUAAAUAUUGGCGAGAGACCGAUAGCGAACAAGUACCGUGAGGGAAAGAUGAAAAGAACUUUGAAAAGAGAGUUAAACAGUACGUGAAAUUGUCAAAAGGGAAGCGUUUGACACCAGUGUUGUUUUCUCGAAAAUCAAUUAAACAUGGCUCGAUUUUGUAUUGCUUGAGACCUUAAAAGCUCACUGUACAUUUUUCGUGUCUUUUUUAAUGCACUUUUCGUUUAACAAGUCAACAUCAGUUUCUUUUGUUGUAAAAGGGUCAUUGGAAGGUGGCUUUCUUUUCGGAGAAAGUGUUUAUAGCCUUUGGCCUCUGCAAUCGGAGAGACUGAGGUCUGCAGCGUAGACUCUUCGGGGUUAGAUACAUUUGUGCUAAGUUAUAGCUUUUUAUAGACAACUUGUUGACUAUAAUUAGUCUUGUAGCUUACUCGCUUAUGCUAUUUUACCUACGCUUAGGAUGUUGAGUCGUAGAGCACGCAG